UAUUACGCACCUGGUAAUCAUCCCAUUUCCAAUAUUGAGGUGGGGUGUUUUACCUACGGGAAGAAUCUUCUUCAUCACAGAGACCAAGGCAUUGCAGCACCGUUGGAACAAUGAACCUUCAAGGAGACUGUCUUGAAAAAUAACAGAUAUGGACCCAAGUCAGCAGCAUCCACUGGUGACCAGGGAAGAUUGACAAAUAUCCACCAUCCCCUUUUAGUGGAUACAAUGGGAGACCGAAUCUAUAGACGGAUCGAUGUUGGACAUAAGUCUCGAAGUUGAUUUAACUCAACAGAAGUUACUGUGAAAACCAGUGCUGUGAUGACAUUCUCACCAGUGAAAACCACGGACACACCACCUUCUCCAAUAACUAAUGAUGGAAAUAAAACAUGUAAAAUAUGUGCAAAACAUUAUAAACACUUACAUUCACUUCAAAGGCAUAUGCAAACUCAUGAGCCCAAUAAAAUCCUAUGUUCAAAAUAUGUGAUAGACAUUUCACAAAUAGUGGUUCACUAGUCAACCACAAAAAUGCUGAACACAAACAUAUUCAUUAUACCUGUUGUUGUGGAAAUACUUACAAAUAUAUUACAGGACUGUUGAAACAACAGGCGAAAAAAGGACAUUCAUAAAAAAAAUUACUUCAGUUAAUCAUUGCCCUUCAAAAGAAAUAUUGCCCUAUCACAAUUUACUCUGGAAUAUCACACAACCCUUUUCGCUUAAAGGCUAAUAUUUUUGAGUCGUCUUUUCAAUGGUAUUGUUGGAUGCAACCUUCGCCAUAUGUAGGGCAGUGUCUUUUAAAACUUAUAACAAAAUUCAGUAUCUUGUAAAUACUUUAAAAUAAGUCAAAGAAAAAAAUCAGUAAUAACAGCUAUUUUGAAAAAAUAUAGUUUUAAAUUAAACAAAUUAUUUUAUUAGAUGAAAAUACACAACCGCACUAUAUUUUACUCAAACCCGCAAAGGAUUUUAUCCAAAAAGAGCCCAAAUGGUUUGGUUUGAAUUAAUAUUGCAUCUAUUUCCAGAUCAGACAACAGCUUGUAAUGUUCAGUAUAUAUUCUUAAAUAAUUCAUAAUUUUAGUCCCAUAACAGGUAUUACUUUGUGUAGCUACAAAUAUAAGAAAACAGAAAAAAACUACUUCAAUGUUAUUGAAAAUAUAUUAUUGUGCAAACAUAUUAUUUGUUUGCGGACUUAAUAUCACUUGAAUCAUUUCCAUAUUUUGCACACUUAUUUAACUACAGUAUAUUUCGUUUCAAAUCACCAAUAAACUCUGAAAGGACAAGCUCAGAAAUCUAUAGAAAAUUAACAAAUGUAUCUUACCUGUGGGGUUUCCUCGAGUUGGCACCAUAACUGCAACGAAUUUUAUCUAACCGCUAUAACUUUAUUCGUAUGACCAGCGUGUAAUAGAAGAGGACAAAACCAGAUAAGAAUUUCCAAAACUGCCAAAGUUUUUUUGUUGUUGCAAAUACACAUAAUAGAUAACUUUAAAAAAACCACACCUAUAAAAUACCCAGCUCUAUACAGUAGCUUUUAAAUUAUCUUGCAUUGACAACUGUCAAUUACUUGUAUUAAUGCACAGCAAAGGAAAGGAAUGUUUUAUUUAAUAACAGCUCAGCAUUAUAAAAUUAUGGCCAUUUAGUGUCUAACGUAUGGUUAUUGUGACACUUGCUCUAAAUUGUGAGAAAAGAACUCACUGCCAACACAGAUUCAUCCCACCAAACAAUGGCAAGGAACAAUUGAUAGGUACUUUUUCAUGGACAGGACAAUAUAUAAGUGCCUGAAUGUCAGAAGUACCUACUGAACACUCCCCAAAAUGGUCAGACUAAGCCCACAGCUAAAAGCUGAUGCAGGGUUCAUAGCUUUAAAGACCAAACAAAUUCAAAGACUUUUACCUGCUAUUUUCUAAGACUUUCAAAGACGUUUACAAAGUGGUCAAAGACAAUAGAAUGCAAUAAAAAUACCAAAUCAGUUCAUUUACGUUGCUGUCCAUGGCAAAAAAUUUAGCUUUUUUACAUGUGUAUUGACA